rnacentral:tRNA from 1 species
UAGCUCAGUUGGUAGAGCAGUUGGCUUUUAACCAAUUGGUCGUAGGUUCGAAUCCUACACGACCCACCA